GACGAACGCUGGCGGCGUGCUUAACACAUGCAAGUCGAACGGAAAGGCCCUGCUUUUGUGGGGUGCUCGAGUGGCGAACGGGUGAGUAACAUGUGAGUAACCUGCCCUUGACUUUGGUAUAACUUCAGGAAACUGGGGCUAAUACCGGAUAGGAGCUCCUGCUGCAUGGUGGUGGUUGGAAUGUUUCGGCGGUUGGGGAUGGACUCGCGGCUUAUCAGCUUGUUGGUGGGGUAGUGGCUUACCUAGGCUUUGACGGGUAGCCGGCCUGAGAGGGUGACCGGCCACAUUGGGACUGAGAUACGGCACAGACUCCUACGGGAGGCAGCAGUGGGGAAUAUUGCACAAUGGGCGGAAGCCUGAUGCAGCAACGCCGCGUGCGGGAUGACGGCCUUCGGGUUGUAAACCGCUUUCGCCUGUGACGAAGCGUGAGUGACGGUAAUGGGUAAAGAAGCACCGGCUAACUACGUG
rnacentral:rRNA from 1 species